UACUAGGCAACACUGCUUAUGAUAAAAAUGACCACUGAUUGAUAACUUGCAUCUGGACUAGAAGGAACCACACAUAUCUGUUGGGUACAUCAUAGCUUGCACUUCCUCUAAUAUCUUUCUAUUUAGAUCGGUGUCAACUGUGGCCUAUGAAAGUCUUGUGAGUCAGAAUGUUUAACUGAACCUAAGAAGACCCUGAGCAAGAAGCAUGUCUGGCUGCUCACCAUUUUAUCCCUAGCACCUGAAGAAUGUCUGGCACAGAACAGGAGCUGAAUAAAUGCUGGCAGAACAAGCUUCACCCACUGCUCAUUAUUAUCUAUUUUCCUGCUGAACUAGAAAAUCCACGGGGAUCAUUUGCUUUCUUGACCCCAGCUCCUAGCCUGUGAAUACUUGACAGAUGGAUAAAUAAAUUCUGAAACACAUCAAGGUCCUGCCUGGCUCAAGGCUUUGCACACGCUGGAUCCGCCACUUGGAAUCCUACUUCUCCUGGUCUCGGCAAGGUGGUGUAGCCAUGUCCAUACGGCAGCUUUCUUCUUCGCUUUUGCAGCAACCUGGACUCGCCCUGUCAACAUGCACAAGCUAUCCUGAAAUUGCUUGUUUUCAUUCUUAAUUCCCUAUGGGACUGUGAGUUGCAGGCGGGCAGGACUCUGUCCCUCCUCUUCACCCCAGCCUAAGAGAUGGUCGGGGACCUGAUCAGUAUGCAAGGAAGCCUCCUCAAAUGAAUGAAGAAAUGACCUCCCUGAAUGAAUGAAUAAAUGGGGCCCAGAAACAAGUGCUCACCUUGCUCAGUUAAGCGAUCAGGUGUUUGCCCAUCGUUUACUCCUUCAUAAAACAGUACUGCAUUACUUACGUUUCUGUCUUAACCUUUUCUUUUCUCCUACCGUCUCCUAGAGUGCAGGCCCAUUUCCUUCCAAUCUCUGAAUCUCUCAAAAACUGUC